CUUCUCCAAGUGGGCGCAGCGGCUCCUGCAUGGCUGACCCCGUGGACCGGGGACCCCCUACACCCCCGGAUCCCAAAGGCUCCGUAGCGUGUGCCCUCCAGGAGGAUGCUGGCAGGUGCCCAAAGCGAGUGCACUUUUUGUUGGAAACUGCAAAUUCCAGGAGGCCAGACUGCUGAACAGAGGUCUUAGGGCCGGGGGGCAGGUCCCCGAGUGAAACGGAAGGAGAAGAUAAGGGUUUUGCUCACGCACACACAGGCCAACGUGCAGGGCCCACGGGGUACCUGCAUUCAUACAGCUUUCGGUGCAAUGGACAUGUUUAAUGAACACAAUUUGAUGAGUCUGGACAUAAGCAAACACCCAGGAAACCAUCUCAUGAUCACAGUAGCAGCAAAAAGCCAAGUCUCCUUGUGUCUAAUUUGUCUCAGGUUUUUGGUUUGGGUUCUGGUGUUUUCGGUAAGAGCAUCUCACACGCCACCCACCCUCGGACAAAAUGUUAAGUGCGCCGUAGAGCGUUGCUGACGGCCGGCCCCAGGGUGUGUCCCCAUCACUUUGUCCCCUUGACCUGCAGCCCCGUUCCCCUCCCCCAGCCCCUGUCCUAUUUUCUGCUUCUGCAGGUUUGGCUAUUUCCACUUCCUCCACUAAGUGGAAUCAGACAUGUUUCCCCUUUUCUGCGUCUGUUUUGCUCACUCGGCAGAAUGUCCUCCGGGUCCAUCCGCGUUGUCAUAGCGGCACGAUUGCCUUCCUUCUUGUGGCUGAAAGACGUUGCCGUGGCUGUAGGGACCGUGUUUUGUUCAUCCACUCAUCUGCCGGCGUGUUCACUGCACGCUGCGCUUGUGAAGAGUCUGCAGUGAACACGGGGGCGGGGGGCAAGUAGCCCUUUGAGAUCCUGCUUUCAGUUACACCCGGAAGCGGAGCUGCUGGGUCUUCUGGUAGCAGUGUUUUUAAUGUUUGGAGGAAACUCCGUACAGUUUUCCCCAGCGGCUGCACCGUUUCAGAUUCCCACCCACAGGACACAGAGUUCCCGUCUGUCCGCAUCUUUGCAGACGUGUUCAAACACGGCACUGAUGGAGCUCCCUGGGGGCCUAGCGGUUAAGGGUCUGGUGUUUUCACCGCUGUGGCUUGGGUUCGAGUCCUGGUCUAGGAUUUCUGGGUACCAUGAGUGCUGUAAUCGUAUUUAUCUUAAUGACCGAGUUUUUCAACCCUCUUAAACUUUGCGCCUGAGGUGCGUGAGUCCCCCCUGUCCCUCGUGGUCCGGUUCUGGGUUUCCCUGUGGUUUACUAGCUGAGACUGGUUCCCUGUGGGGCAGUGUGGACCCCCGGCCCCCACCAUCCAACGUCCUGGUUUACGAUUUACCUCGGCCAUUUAGCAGGGAGCUGAUAACACGCUGUGCCCAGACUGGGCCCCCUCGGUUCUAUUAAAAUCCUGUCUCUUUCCUGCUGUGAGUUAAAGCAAAGACCCAUUUCUCGCGGUUCCCACUUUCAGAU